AUGAAAGGAAAAUCCUGCCGAGGCAAUCGUAUUUGUUUUGGUAGAUAUGCUCUUCAAGCACUUGAACCCGCUUGGAUCACGGCGAGACAGAUAGAAGCAGGACGAAGAGCAAUAACACGAUAUGCACGUCGUGGUGGAAAAAUAUGGGUACGUAUAUUUCCCGACAAACCGGUUACACUAAGACCCACAGAAACACGUAUGGGCUCGGGAAAGGGGUCCCCC
rnacentral:rRNA from 1 species